rnacentral:lncRNA from 13 species
CACUGGGAGACAUGAAGAAACUGGUCUUGCCUCAAGUUGUACACUCUACCCUUAAAAUCCUACAAUCAGAAGUACGCUGAGGUGAGCUAAUGCAUCUCUGGAGGAGCCAAGUCCCAAUGAAUUAGCUGUUUUUCUAUGCUUCCUCUCAGAGGCAAUAGUAAUGAAGUGUAGAUGAACAAAAUGUAGCCUUAGUAAAGUAUUUUGCUCCUCAGGAGUCAUACUUAUGUAAGAUCAUUUUUCAGAUAUACAGCACCAAUGAAUAGCGAUGCUUCCAUUUAUUUUUGUCACAUCAGUUUGGGUGCAGUGUGUUUUCAUGCACUUAGAUGCAAAGUAUCAUGAAGUUGUCUCUGAUUGAAGUGCAAUCAGUCAGAUGCCCGGUUGAGAACAACAUGGCAUCAUGGGCUGGCCCUUUUGGCUUAGAUGUCGGCCAUCUUUGUUUUGCACUUUCUGGAACAGAACUGUGGUAUUAAGGCCAGAGUCUAUUUUGGCCCUCAGCCUCUUUUCUCAGCCUGCAUAGCAACUACCCCAUUUGGUGUUCAGUUAUACUCUGGGAAAUUGUGAUGACAUUUCAAAGCCAGUGUGCACUUUCUUUUCUAAAUGAACAUCAAGCGCAAAACACAUGAAGAUACAAUCAAAUACUUCCAUAAAAGGCAUUAGGUAGAAAUAAAUUAAUGCACAACUAUGUAUAUAAUUUCAUAUGUCUUAAAUUACCACAAUUUCAUGAAUUUGAUUUAUAUAAACCAAAACAGAAAAAAAGGAUGUUUUACCAAUUUGCAUCAGGAACAUACAAGUGCGACAAUCAGCAAAGAAAUAGAACUAGAGCAGUCUCAGGUGUACUUGUUUUUUUUUAUGUUUACAUCUGUUUGUUUUUUUACAUUGUAUUAGUUGUUUUCAACUUUGAGCGUUUCGAUCUGUUGACGAAGCUAAUCUAUGAAAGCUAUGGCUAUUGGUAACAUUCCAUCAGAGGAAAAAUGAAAACAUGUACCAUGGUUGUCUUGUUAUUAGCAGCACAUGUUCCUCUGUAGACACACUGAAAUGACCAUUGUAUGGUGGUUUGUCACCUGUUUGAAAACCAUUGCUCCAUGCUGGAUAUAUUGUCGCUUUUCUGUGUCUACCCUGGUCUGUAACUUCUGUUUCCCUUUAAGUGAGUGUGCACUAACACUAUCCAGUGAAAGUACAUUUUCCUGACACAAUAAGACAUAUUUUAAGAGACUUGCUUGCUAAUAGACAGUCUAUUUCUCAAUGGAAAUGAAGUUAUUUUACAGCAACACUAUUCUAUGGUGACAAAAAAAGGCUUUGAGAUUCAGGUAAAUCGCAAAAGGAACUGUGUUCAGUGACACAGCCUAUUCCAGAUGUGAUACCGAUGUAUGUAUUAUAUUGAUAGCUGUGACAAUGCAGUUACAUUUAUUGGUAAUUUUUUUAUUUAUCAUGAUCUGAGUUUUUAUUUAAUUUUAUAUUUGUUGCUUAGGAUUUAAGUUGUGAAAAGAAGAAUGUGAUCUACAAAAUAAACAUGUCAAAUGCUCAGAUAGAAGGAUUGGGAAUGGUUUGCUAAAAGUUUGUUUAGAUUUCAAUAUAUAUAUUUUUGUAAAUAGCCAUCAAAAUUCACUAUUAAGUUAUGGUAGUGUUAUAAAGUACAUCUACAGUUUCUAAUAAAGCAUGAAUAUGGGUAGGGCUACGUAAAUACAGCGAAUGGUCACACGUUUGUUUGUUUUUCAGUCUCUGCAAACAUUCAUGCUGGUUCCCUUCACUAAGACAACUCAUUUCAUUUGAUGCGGUAGAUUUGCCAGGUUGUGUGUACUAUUUAUUUAGACUUUUGUCCAAAGGUCUGUGUGGUGAGGCAUUUGUCAUUAUUAUCUGUUCCUCGAGCAAUAACAUCGUCAUUCAUCCUUCACGUUGAGGAGCGAUCCCUGUGGUAAGCAGAGAUUUCAUCUCGUUUGACAUAAUGCUAUUCCAGUUACAGUGGUUUUGUAGGAGAUUUGGUUUUCCAAACCCCUUACAUAUGUUUUUGUUUUUUGUGAUAGAACAGUAGGGGAGAGCGUGAGAGAGAUGGAAGGGCACCUAAGGGAAAGUGGCCGAGACGUUUGUUUGGUCAGGAGCGGUACCGCUACACCAGACUCUGGCACUAACUUACAAUCCGAUCACACUUUGUAGACACCUUUUUAAAGGUCAUUUUAAGGUCAUGCCCUCAAGGGCAUCCUGUUUCCAUUUACCAUCCUUGAGAUGUUUCUACAACUUGAGUGGAGUCCACCUGUGGUAAAUUCGAUUGAUUGGACAUGAUUUGGAACGGCACACACCUGACUAUAUAAGGUUCCAGUCUCAUAGCAAAGGGUCUGAAUACGUAUGCCAAUAAGGUAUCUAUUUAAAAAAUAUAUACAUUUGCAAAAGUCUAAACCUUGUUUUUGCUUUGUCUUUUUUAUUGUGUGUAGAUUGAUGAGGGAAAAACUUUAUUUAAUAGAUUUGAGAAAAGGGAUGUUAACGUAAGAAAAUGUGGAAAACGUCAAGGGAUCUGAAUAUUUUCAGAAUGCACUGUACUUUAACCUGGACCUCGGUCUCAAAAUGUGCAUCUGCCAAUUCAAAUGUUUAAAGUAGUUGCACAUGAUCAAGCGCAAUAUGUUAGCUGUUCCCAUCAGAUAACUUGGCAGACAGUGGCGUGCAUUCAUGGAUGCCAAGGGAAGCCAGUCUUCCCCAAAAAAUGUAUCAGGAAAAAUCCUUAUAAAAUAAUGUCUCUUUCAUAUUGCUGGAUGGCAUUGGCGUUUCCCUACAAUUAGGUGACUAAACAUGUUUUUUUCUACAUGCACACAGAAAUCAGAACCAGGGACAGCAACGUUAUGUUAAUCUUAUUUUGAUUGGAAUAAAUCAUUUUUGGAAUCUUUUAGUUGUCACUGUAUUUGACUAAGCGUAAGUGAUUUGAUGAUGUUUAAAUGGUGCUGGAAUAGUGGAGGCAGCUCCUGUUUUCUAUGGAAUUGCGGUAACUCUACGUGGUUCUAAAUCAAUAGCUGUUUAGCGGUCUGAAAAUGUUGGAAACAUUAACUUGCUUGACCAUGUAACUGUUUGUUACAUGCAACAUGCUUUGUGGACAUCACUGGACAGAGGUUGCUCUCCGGUUUUGUGAUGAAACAAAGGUGCGGUUGAAUUUAUUCGGCCUUUAGGCCUACAUAUCACGGGUGCAAGUUAUAUGAACUAACAGGUUAUAGAGAACCCAAUUCUCACAACACACAGGUUGUAAUAUGGCUUUUUUUUAUGGCUUCCCCUGUGAUUUUACCCAUCCACCACUACUGCAGACAGUCCUGAGCUAACCUACACACAGCUGGCCGUGAUAAUAUCCGGUUCAAAUUCCGUAUCAGCAAAUUAAAAUCGUUGACUUAGUUGGACGUGAUCCGACACUUGUUUAUGAAUGCCAACGGGAACGUUCUGAUAAUCAAAGCAACUACAUUACAUUUGUUGGUUAUUUCUUAAACGUCUAAGCCAUUUUAUCACAUAUUUGAUCAAAUAUUUAAUUUGGCCUUUACUACUAUAGCCUGUAGAAAAGCAUUGAAAAACACAUUUAAAAAUACAUCAUAGGGAAUAAAGUUUUAAGGUGUCCAAAUCUAGGAGAUACAAGAAAGCCCAGGAAAUAUAUACAGUACCAGCCAAAAGUUUGGACACCUACUCAUUCAAGGUUUUUUCUUUAUUUUUACCAUUUUCAGAAUGCUCAGGUAGCCAUGCUGGUUAAGUGUGCCUUUGAAUUCUAAAUAAAUCACUGACAGCGUCACCAGCAAAGCACCCCCACACCUUUUUUAUUUCACCUUUAUUUAACCAGGUAGGCUAGUUGAGAACAAGUUCUCAUUUGCAACUGCGACCUAGCCAAGAUAAAGCAUAGCAAUUCGACACAUACAACAACAGAGUUACAUAUGGAAUAAACAAAACAUAGUCAGUAAUACAGUAGAACAAAAGAAAACAAAAAGUCUAUAUACAGUUAGUGCAAAUUAGGUAAGAUAAGGGGAGGUAAGGCUAAAAAUAGGCCAUGGUGGCGAAGUAAUUACAAUAUAGCAAUUAAACACUGGAAUGGUAGAUGUGCAGAACAUGAAUGUGCAAGUAGAGAUACUGGGGUGCAAAGGAGCAAGAUAAAUAAAUAAAUAAAUACAGUAUGGGGAUGAGGUAGGUAGAUAGAUGGGCUAUGUACAGGUGCAGUGAUCUGUGAGCUGCUCUGACAGCUGGUGCUUAAAGCUAGUGAGGGAGAUAUGAGUCCAGAUCCAGUG